AGUUCAGAACCACCAUUGCCUCUCUCUCUCUCUCCCCCUCCUGUUGGAGUUCCAAAACGAUGUCGUUAUGGAAGACGACGGUGCAGCAACCUCUUCUACUACUACAACUACAACAACAACAACACUCAACGCCAAUGCAUUCUUCUUCCUUCAUUUCAACGAACACGAUGAAUCAGAAGAAGAAGAGUACGAGUAACAGAAGAGCCCUAAUUCUAUGUUGUUCUGGUUCCAACACGUCGUCGUAUUCACCAUCUCCGUCGAUUUCAACAACAACAACAACAACCAGUGCUCCGCCAAUUAUAAAGCGGAGGAAGAGGUAUAGGAGGCAGUAUCCAGGAGAAAGCAUAGGAAUCACUGAAGAGAUGAGGUUCGUUGCUAUGAGACUCCGAAACGUUAAAGGCAAAAAAUACACUAAAGAUUCACUCAGUGAAGACGAAAAAGAAGACGAUAAUUUAGGUUCAGACAACGAUAAUGAUGGUGAUGAUGAUGGAGGAGUGACGUGGCAGCCCAGCAUGGAAGGGUUCCUCAAUUAUUUGGUUGAUAGCAAGCUCGUCUUCAACACUGUAGAGCGCAUUGUCGAUGAAUCCAGUCACGUUGCCUAUGCCUAUUUCAGAAAAACUGGAUUGGAACGAUCAGAAGCUCUUGAAAAAGAUUUAGAUUGGCUUGGGCAGCAGGGCUUUGUGAUUCCUGAACCUAGCGGUCCGGGGAUUUCUUAUGCCAAGUAUUUGGGGGAACUUUCAGAGAAGAGUGCCCCAUUGUUCAUGUGCCAUUUCUACAAUAUAUAUUUUUCGCAUAUAGCAGGAGGUCAAGUGAUAGCAAGACAGGUUUCUGAGAAGCUCCUAGAAGGAAGGGAGUUGGAAUUCUUCAGAUGGGAGGGCAAUGAUGCAGAGUUGAUAAAAGAUGUUCGUGAGAAGCUCAACAUGCUUGGCGAGCACUGGUGUCGUGAUGAGAAAAACAGAUGCCUAAAAGAAGCAACAAAGGCAUUUCGUUUCCUGGGGCAGAUUGUCCGCUUGAUCAUCUUAUGAAGUCAUCUCAAAUUACAAUUCUGAAUGUUUUUCAAGAGUCCUAUUGGACUGGAUGAUUGAUGUGCAGGUGGCUGGAUCUCAGUUCUUUUCCCCCAAAGUAAAGCAAAGCUUCCUCUGAAUGACUCCUGGCUGAUGUCCAUGUCUCGAGACAUUAGUGGCAUAGUCAUGUGAGAACACUAUUUGUACCUGGAUUAUAACCCUAGAAGCUACCCUCAAUCUUAGCCAAAAGGCCGAGGAUGGUAUAACCCUAGAAGCUAGAAAGGACCAGCAGAGAUGCUACACUGGCUGAACUUGGGCGUGACAAAAUUCUUAUGAGAUUUUUUUUUUUUUUUUUUUUGGGUGUAAUUUGCAGUACUGCUAUGUUUAGCUCUACAUGGGUUGGCUAGUGCUAAUAUGGUUGUUUAUACUUUAUGCUGGUGGUGAAAUUUGUGUUCAGUAAUGUCAAUGAAAUUUGUAUGAUUUAAUCAAGCAAUUAGGUAAACUAAGUGUUGUACU